UACGUAGGUGGCAAGCGUUGUCCGGAUUUACUGGGUGUAAAGGGCGUGCAGCCGGAGAGACAAGUCAGAUGUGAAAUCCACGGGCUCAACUCGUGAACUGCAUUUGAAACUGUUUUUCUUGAGUACUGGAGAGGCAGACGGAAUUCCUCGUGUAGCGGUGAAAUGCGUAGAUAUGAGGAGGAACACCAGUGGCGAAGGCGGUCUGCUGGACAGCAACUGACGCUGAGGCGCGAAAGCGUGGGGAGCAAACAGG
rnacentral:rRNA from 1 species